rnacentral:rRNA from 1 species
GAUGAACGCUGGCGGCGUGCCUAACACAUGCAAGUCGAGCGAAGCAUUUUAAAGGAAGUUUUCGGAUGGAAUUUGAAAUGACUGAGCGGGCGACGGGUGAAGUACGCGUGGUAACUGCCUCACACUGGGGGAUAACAGUUAGAAAUAGCUGCUAAUACCGCAUAAGCGCACAGCUCCGCAUGGAGCAGUGUGAAAAACUCCGGUGGUGUGAGAUGGACCCGCGUCUGAUUAGCCAGUUGGCGGGGUAACGGCCCACCAAAGCGACGAUCAGUAGCCGGCCUGAGAGGGUGAACGGCCACAUUGGGACUGAGACACGGCCCAA